rnacentral:rRNA from 1 species
CGUAGGGUGCAGGCGUUAAUCGGAAUUACUGGGCGUAAAGCGUGCGCAGGCGGUCUGCUAAGAGAGAUGUGAAAUCCCCGGGCUUAACCUGGGAACUGCGUUUCUAACUGGCAGGCUUGAGUGUGGCAGAGGGGGGUGGAAUUCCACGUGUAGCAGUGAAAUGCGUAGAGAUGUGGAGGAACACCGAUGGCGAAGGCAGCCCCCUGGGCUAACACUGACGCUCAUGCACGAAAGCGUGGGGAGCAAACAGGAUUAGAUACCCUGGUAGUCCACGCCCUAAACUAUGUCAACUGGUUGUCGGGGAAGCAAUUCCUUGGUAACGAAGCUAACGCGUGAAGUUGACCGCCUGGGGAGUACGGCCGCAAGGUUA